CUUAGAGCCCGGGCCCGCCGGGCGGGUGGGGACGCGGAAGGCCGGCGCUGAUCCCGAGCUGCUCCCGCGCUUCUCAGCCUACAGUGCUGCGCGAGCAUCCUGUGAAAACGCGAAUACGGGUUAUCUCCCCUUUGCGCGCUUGAGAUACGUGCGGCCUGGAGAUGUCUGGUCUCUGGGCCGACUCCGCGCCCGCCUGGCUGGAGAGACACCACCAGCCACCCUGGCUGCCACCGCGGAAGGAGGCAGCAAGGUGACGGUUCACUUAGAAGGGAAAAAUUAGUCCCAGCAAAUGGCCGACAAACAUCACAGAAUCCAGGCAAAUAAGCUAUUUUUGUUAACUGACAACACUUUUCCUCCCUGCAUAUUUCUGAUUGCAUACUCUAUUUCCUCCUUGAUAAUAUUAUCUGGUAACAUUUUCUCUACAGAGAAUAGCAAGGCAAUUCAGUCUUCAGUAUGGUUGACGGAAUUUAUUUUGUGAUUGACAUUUUAGGAAAGUUUUAUUCAGCAUCAGCCCUUAGCCGUAUUUGUGCGCUUGUGCCGAUGUGAUUGCCAAGGUGUAUGAUUAAAAAUAAACCAUUACUGAGCGCCGGGAGGUCCCUUAGAGGGGGCUCUUUACCUCCUAUUAAGCUGUCCUGCAGAAAUCUGGGGAGGGAAGCAGGGCGAGAGGAACUUAUGGGCCCAUGGAGUGUAAAGUGUCCAAAAAAGGUUGCCCUGCACCCAGAGACGUUCCGGCCAGAUUCCCCUUCAAGAUGCCCAGACUUCUGGGAGGACUGUUGACAGAGCUUUCAGCUGCCAGCCACUUCUGGGAUUAUUCAUUUGCAGAGAGCCACCUCAGCCAGGGUCGCUCUGCCCCAGGGUGGCCCAGAUCCAAUGACUGAUCCAGGUGGGAGUAUGAAGGCUGUGCCAUUUCACUGCAGUGGGGGACAACACUGAAGGGUCAUUCUAUUGAUAGAGAUAUUGAGGGUGGUGUUAUCAUUCUGUGACAGCUCUGGAGUUUCUACUGAGAUCAUUUCAAGGACCUCACUGAGAAGCAUUCUAGGACAUCCUCAGACCAGCAGCCGUGUUCACUGGGGCUCUCUGUCCAAACUCCACCUAUCCUUCCUGCUGCCAGCUAAGUCAGCCUCGACACCAACCUGAGUUCUUACUAGUUUCAUUGAGCUCUCAGUGCUGUUUUAAUUUAAAACAGUGUUAAUUUAAAACAUUAAAUUUUGUUACCCUAGGACGUAUAACCAUAGAAGUCUUUGUUUAAAGUAAUUAUAAUAUAUCUAGGUCUUUGUAUAAGAUCAUUAGACCUUCUGCUUUGGAGAGAAAACAUUUGGAAGAUAUCUUUGCUUACUCUCUUGCUGUUUGCUUUGCUUUUGUGUGUGUGUGUGUAUGUGUGAAGUUGUAUUUCAAUUGCCUUUGUUUUUUCCUGGAUUCCUUGUGUCUAUUGAUUGUAUAAAGGAGUGUUCUAUAAGCGACAGAGAAAUAUAUAAGGUGAUUACUCUCUGUUCCAAUUUAAUCUAGUCUUGAAGACAAAUGAUUGGAGGUCCGUUAGACUAGUGACAAAUUUGUGAAAAGGCAAUUAGUCAAACUUAGCUUUGGGUGCCCUACAAAACCUUCAUGAUGUCACUUACUGUCUUGUCAACUUGUGAAAGAAGGUCCCUUAGCUCAGUCUAUGUUUUUAGGGUAAACAAUUGUUGGGUCAUUGACUGUCCAGCUGAGUUUUAGCUUCUGCUUGGUCAGGAAACCUGAGACGCCAUCCAUGAGCACGUGCUGGACUGACCAUCGCGACCCAUCUUCCUUGUGUGGGUUUGUCCAUAUCAAAGUCUCCAACUCCUACAACAAAUUCUUCUUCCUAUAUAAAAUCUCACUGUGAUCUUAACUCUUGUACUUUUUUUAGGCAAGUGGCAAAAAAUGAUGACCGUUUUAGGGACAGUUUGCUGUGUUAAAAUCAAUAAGUUCAUGUGUUUAAGAGAAACUGUAGAAAAAUCAGGAGACAAAGACACCAACUUUUCAAUAGUCAGCUUCUUUACUUGGUGUGCUGGGGCCUAAAACACAAUUUGUCCAAGGAUGCUCUAACCUUCUGAGACCUGUCCUGCUUGGAUCUACGCAGCUUUGUCUACGCUUUUCACGUACAGCCCUUCUGGUCCUUCGGUUCUUUCCUCCGAUCUAAUGAGCUAUCAUUGCCUUAGGUUUUCGCAGGAAAAGAACAUUCAUGUAACUGUGCCGGAUCAGAAGGAAUGGAAUUUAAAACCUGAUCUAGAGCUGAAUCAAGAACUUCGUCUGUUCAGGCUGCUGUAACAGAUUACUGUAGACUGAGUGGCUCAUGAACAACAGAAAUUUAUUUCUCCCAGUUCUGGAGGCUGGGGAAGUCCAAGAUCAAGGUGCUGGCAAGGACACGACCUUUAUGUAUUAGAGUUCUCCAAAGACACAGAACCAGUAUGAUAGAGACAUAGAAAUUUAUUGUGAGAGCUGGCUCAUGAGGUUACCAUGAUCUGCCGUCUGGAAGCUGGAGGUCCAGGACAGCCCAUGCUGUAGUUUCAGUCCACACUCCAAGGCCUGAGGAUGAGGAGGGUGAGUGGCAUCAGAGAGAAAAGGCUGGAGAGCCCUGAGCUCCAGUGUAAGGGCAGGAGAAGAUAGAUGUUCCAGCUCAGGCAGAAAGAGCAAACUCAUCCUUCCUCCACCUGUUUUUUCUACUUUGUGGUCCUUGACAGAUUGGAAGGUGCCCCCACACACUGGUGAGGGUGAUUUUCUUCACUCAGUCUGCCUAUUCAAAUGCUGCCAGAAACACCCUCAUAAACACACCCAGAAAUAAUGUUUCACCAGCUAUCUGGGCACCCAUUAGCCCAGUCAAGUUGACACAUAAAAUUAACCAUCACAUUCUACAAUAUUCAAUAGGUAGAAUUUUCUUUGCCAGUGGAGCCACCAGAGAAAAUGUACUAUGGGAAGAUUAUUUUAGAAAUUAAAAAAAAAGUAUCUACAUAUUAUUAGAUUUUAACUGAUCCAGACAUUAGUGUUUCCAUACUAUGAGCACUUCAAAAAAUAAGCAAAGAAUAAGCCAUGGGCCCAUAAUCAUUAUAGGCAAAAUGCUCCAUGGACCAUAGAGCAGUUAAUCUGAGCAGAGCCCAUAAGUGUGCAGAUGUAUUCUCCCCAGAUUAUUAUAAUUUCUUGCGUGUUCAUGAGAGAGUAGGCUAUGCUGCAGGGCUGACAGCUUGAACUACGUUGAGAUGGCUCUAAGUAUGAAGUACACACUGGAUUUUGAAGUCAAAGUAUGUAAAAAUGAAUGAAACAUAGCUCAUUAAUAAUUUUCAACAUUGGCUAAAUGUUGGGCUGUCAAUAUUUUAGAUAAAUUGUGUCAAAUAAAAUGUUUAAAAUGUCUUCACCUAUUUCGUUUUACCUUUUAAAAAUGUGGAUAUUAAAAUUUUUAAAUUUCGUGUGUGGCUCACAUCCUACUUUAGUGGACAGUGCUGUUUUGGGGAGUAUUACCCCAGUGACACGGGACACAUCAAAAACUCAGUGUCCUUUUUAGCCUAUCCCUUGAUCCCUUGUAGCAUAAUGUGCACCCAAGGCUUAGCCUUGCAUAUCCAAGCAAUUACAGGCCUCCACUAAAUUAGGGCAUCUUUAGGUCUUGUACUAAGAUUACCUUUAAAUCUGACAUUAACAUAUGUAGAAAAUCCCUAUUGCUAAUAGAAACCACCUAAUAUUCUUCUGUUAAUUAAUUAAUUAUGAAUGAUUGUUACUCUCCCCUUUGCAUAUUACCAUAUUCUUAUGUAACACACUUAACUCAGCAACCUUACCCAGUGAAGCCGAAUCUCAUACUUGUGUUCUGUUACUUCAAAAAAGAUCCGUGCCCUCAACCAAUCUUUGAGUAAUUCAACACGAAAUCCUGAUUUAAAGCUUUUUUCCCAUGUUAUCUCACAAACGAAUAAAGGGGGAUGAUACCAGGCGGGCUAGGUGAUAAUUGCUUUUCUUGCCCAGUGCUAGGCUUUAGUAGAGGCAAUCGUUCCAACUUUAUAAUGCAGUUCUCCUAAGCCAUUGCUUGUGAAUAAAUGUGAAGGACAAUUUGAAGUCAAUUUGAAGGACUGGUUGCCUUGCAAACUCUUAGAAAGACCUAAAUGAUAGCCAUGUCUAUCAUUAAUGCCACUGAUGUGGAUUUGUAGCAUAAUGUGAAUUUGAUCAAGCCCCUUUAAAUUUCUUAGUCCAAAUAGUUAUGGGUAAUAGAACAACAUUGUAUUUUAUUUUGGCCAAUUAAAAGAGAGGCCAGGCCAUUGCCAAGACUUCCUGCUAGAUCUAGACUAACUCUGUAAGUGACUUGGACUGAUGUCGCUCAGAGUUAAUAGAAAGGCAAUGUGAGGUAUCUAUGAUCUACUUAGAGAGUUGUUGAUAUUUCUUAGGAGAUCUCUCAGUCCUUCUUAAAAUAUUUGUAUGCAUUGCAUGUAUCAUAUGUAUUUAUUCUUAAAAUAUUUCUAGCUGAGUAAAUCCCCUCCCCUUAUUCCCUUCCUGAGCAGUGUUAAGGAUAUUCUUGACCUUUGCUUUUUCCAGAAACAUUUUAUAACCAGCUUGUUAGUUUCACAAAGCUCUGUUGACAUUUUGAUUAGAAUUACUUUGAAUUUAUAGAUCAAUUGGGGAAAAUUGACAUUUUUAUGAUACCGAGUUUUCUAAUUCAUUAGCAUGGCGUAUCUUUCCCAUAAUUUAGGUCAUCUUUAAUAUCUUUCAAAAAUAUAAAGAAAAUAUAUUUUUAAUAAUAUGAAUACAUAGAAAUGAAAUAUUUCUUUAUGACAAAAUGCCCAAGACAGAUUUAAUAGAUAAACAACAAAAUGGAGAAAGUAGUGCAUUAUAUAUUACAAAAGGCUAGUAAUAAGAACAUACGAGGAGGAACAUGAAAACCCCAAAAGGGAAAAGAGGAAAAUUCAUAAAUUGGCAUCAAUAAAAGAUGGAAUAUAAAUGGCCCAUAAACAUAUACAAUUUUCUGCCUUGAAAACUAAAUUAAAAGCUAUGAAUCAUCAUUUAAAACCUAUCAAAUAAGUAAAGAUAAAGAACAAUGACAAAUGUUACGAGGGCGUGAAGAGGUGAAUAUUUUCUUAUACUUCAGAAAAGCAUAAAUUUGUACAGUGUUUCCAGAGGUCAAUUUGGUGGUAUGUAGAAAGAGCCUUUAAAACGUGUCUAUGCUUUGAUUUAAUGAGUCUGCUUUUUGAAAUCUAUCGUAAGUAACUAAGGAUGCCGGCAAGGAUUUAGCUGAGGAGCGUUAGUGAAGCACUGUUUAUCGUGCCCAGGCCUGGACGGGUGGCAGAGUAAAGGGCGAUACGUAUCUGUGUUCAAUUAACAGCAAUUUUGAAGAACUGUAUUUAUUGGCAUCUAGCAAGUAUAUGAUCUUUUUGAUAUAAAAGGGUAUUCUGAACAUGUGCAUUACAUAUAUAUCUGCAGCUAAAGAUCUACAGUAUGUGUUUCAAAAGUUUGAGUAUGUGUACAGUGAAACGUUUCCAGGGUUAUCUCUGGAUCAUGGUACCAUGGAUUAUUUUUAAUAUUAGUUUUCCUUAGCUACAUUUUCUAGAAUGGGCAUGUAGUAUGCAAUUAUGGGAGUGCAUUACUCAUGUAAUAAGUAACAGAGAAGACCAAUCAUGAGUGUUCUGCCUUGCCUCUACAAAACUAGAGACCUUUUAGCCAAGUAAGACACGCAGGGCUCCAAACAUCCUAAAACCUCUGUCAUACGGCCGGACAAUGUUUUAUCAUCAUUAUACUUCGCCUCUCAGCUUUUACCCAGAAUUUUUUUUUUUUUUUUUCCCUAGGAAAAAUAGGGCUGCAGUUCUCUUUGGUGAUGUUCUUGCCCCAGUUUCAUGUGGUGGGGAAUUGCUUUUUAUUCUUCACCUUAGGCUUUUUGUAAAAGAAAUACACUUUUAGGGUCAUGAUUAAUGUGUUUUAAUGGGAUAUCCAUUUUAAAAAUCAAUGAAAAGAGUUUACAUUAAAAAGAGAAGGCAGUUAGAUUGAUUCAGAUGACCUAUUUUUAAUCAACCCCAUUAUUUAUGGAUCUGAAAACUCUCAGGACAGCUUUCUCUGGAGAUUCAGGGAUCAGCCCUUCUGUUAUUAUGUGUGAAUAAUUUUAAAGCAGGAGCCAUCAGGUUAAUUGAUAAUUUGCUAAACCAUUUUUUUAAAUAUCCCACCUUAGAAAUGCUCCAGGACGCCACCCCUUUCUUUCAUCGUCCCUUCGAAGUUCCGUCUCUCUCUCCUCCCAUGGUUUCCUGGGCUAAGUUCUAAAGCACAGAAGACAUUAUGUUCUGUUUCUUGAAAAGUUUUGGUGCAUCUAGUCCUAGAAUUAGCUUUUAAGUUAAUAGUGUUAUAACUUCUUUAUCUUUUUAUACUCAACUAUUUUCACUAUUGCUUCUAAUGUUCUUAUCUCUUGUAAGAAAUAAGAAUUCUCUGUGUCUCUCUCAUUUGUCAAAAUUAUUUCUUACCAUCAUUAUAAAAUGCACAGAUUUUAGGUUCUUUAGGAAUUCGCACUUAACUUUCUUAUCUUCUACCUUAUAAAUGUUUUUCUUAUACCUCAGACGUUUUUCUAUUGCUGAAUGGAAUAUAUAUUUGAGAACCCUUUAUGAAUUUUCUUAAUUCUAUAGUUUUGGAAGUAUUUCACAGAAAAGAAGUAAUAAUUUCCCAUUUCCAUACCUACUUAUUUCUCCAGUUCCAAAGGAGUAUUUGUACCACAUACCUGGAUUUAUUAUGAAAAUGUUAUGUUCUCCAUUUGCAGCCAUCCCUCUGAAAUUAUUAAUAUAAUUAGCCACAUAAAAAUGUCUCUUCUACCAGAAGCGGUCGGUAGUUGUUUGCUGUAAGUAGCAUUGCGCCUGAUGGUCUCUGAUCGUCUCUGAAGGAAUGCGGGCCCCUUUUGCUCACAAGAGUCUGGAGUUGAAGCCAGUGUGCUUAAGAACGUGUACGUGCAAACCAAGACCAAGCCAACGGCGGUCGUGAAGGUGGUGAUGGCAACAGCUUUCCCUCAGCAUGGUUCCAGCUGUGUGCCCUGGGCUUACAGUGCCCCGGGCUGGGACACCACUACGCAUCAGUUGUCCUCCACUGAGGGCGGUUUUGCUUCCUCAUGUGCGCUACUAACUCCUCAUGGCCGCAGGUGAGGGACGCUGUUAAACAUCCUGCGCUUCCCGGGACAACCCUCCACAACAAAGAAUUUUCUGGCCCAAUUAUCUGUUCUAGUGCUGAGAUUGAGAAACUGUUCUAAAUAAACUUUUAUAUCUGACUUUAUAGUUUUAUAAGCUUCAAGCCCCACAAAACCUGAGUUUGAUGUGGUGUAAUGGCUGAGGGCUCUUGCCUUGACUGGGCUCCACUUUUGCUUACACCGCUCUGUAACCUGGGACCAACUACGUAACCUCUGUCAGCCUCAGUGUCCACAUCUGUAAAAUGGGAACGACAAUACUUAUUUCUGAGGUUGCUGUGUGGGUCUACAUCUUCGGGUAUGUUUUCAGUCUGUCUAUUCUACUUCAGAGUCUAUUGCGGAAACACUAG